rnacentral:rRNA from 1 species
CAACCUGCCCUUCAGGGGGACAACAGUUGGAAACGACUGCUAAUACCGCAUACGAUCUGACCUCGGCAUCGAGGAUGGAUGAAAGGUGGCCUCUAUUUAUAAGCUAUCGCUGAAGGAGGGGAUUGCGUCUGAUUAGCUAGUUGGAGGGGUAACGGCCCACCAAGGCGAUGAUCAGUAGCCGGUCUGAGAGGUUGAACGGCCACAUUGGGACUGAGACACGGCCCAG